GGCGAGGUAGCAAAGCGGUUAUGCGACGGCUUGCAAAGCCGUUCAGACGUGUUCGACUCACGUCCUCGCCUCCA
rnacentral:tRNA from 1 species